CCCUGGGUUCCCGCAGGCGGCGGCGGCAGUGAGCCCCGUGGCCGGCUCGCGCCCACCCGCCCCGCACUACCCCGCCCGACCCCGGGCGCCGGGCUCCUUCCGAGGGACGCGCGCCUAGCGCCCCGAGCCCCGCGCCCGCCCGCUCGCUCGCGCCCGAGCCCCCCAGGACGACGCCGCGAACGCGCCCCGCAGCCGCGGCCCCGCGGCGGACGUCCCCGAUAGUCCAGAUGCAUGGUGAAAUAGAACUUCAGAUUGGUGUGAGUUUUAUGGUAAAACAUUGGAACACAAUGAAAGAUUCCUGGAGAUUUAUGAUGAGGUCCUCCUCCUCUCUGCCUCUCAGAGCGUUCUAGGAUAGGAAAAGCGCCUGUAAUAUUUCCAGUAACGCCUUUACCUGGUGAACACAGAGGAGGCAAAACCAGGACUCGGCGGUAGAGCACCAGGAGGACCAGGGAAGUGGAAGGCAAGAAGCGCGACCCCAAACUCUCAGCUAGAAGCCCAGAAACCUCAUGGAUGUCGGAGGGUUGUUUGAUCUAAAGUGUGCUUAAAUUUUGCUUAGAGGAAUAAAUCUUUAUAAAGGC